AUAUAAGAAACUUAACUCUCUUGAAAUAUUUUGUCGGGCGGUACAUUUAUAUUGUAUAACAAAAUUUUAAAAAUUUUCACACGGCUCUGAAAAUACAAUCGGGCGGUGAUGAGAAUCAAGGAAUUUAUUUUAUGUGGCCUAAUACUCGUGUUCUGUAUAAUUGCUCUAUAAAUACUGUAUACUUUAUUCGUUCAUUAUAAGAUAUUUACAAAUGUGUAAAAAUUACAGUACCUUGCGGCUUGUCUUCACAGCGCUAUGUACCAAUGAUAGCUAUACAAGUAUGAUAUUCGACCCCUCUACAUUCGACUCCUCUAUAUUCGACUAUUUCUUCACAAUUUUUCAAUAAAGUGUUUAUCAUACACGUUCAAGUCAGUAUGGUGACAGUAUUUACUUUAUAUCAGUUAUCACAUGCAAUUUCAUGCUUUCAAAUACCGUCGGUUGCAACUAAGGGUGAACAGUUGCGGAUAAAACAUUCUCUAUUCUCAUUAAAAAGCCUGUUAAGGUUUCCAGUAGGUCUCUAGCCCAACACCUUCCGACUACAUAAAGUUUUGUUACUUAUUAUUGUACACAUGAGAAAGAACGAUUAAGUGUUGUUGCUCUUGACAAACAUUGAGGAUUCUGAUCACACGAACUUAGAGACGCGAAUAUGUUUUUGUGAGCGACUGUUCAUUGUUAGUUGUAAGCAACGGUACAACAUACUAUCAACAUUUUUCCGACUGUGACCGAAUGUGCAACCAUUUAUUUUUCAAAGUUGUUAUCAAUUCCUAAAAUUUAUUUAUAGUGUAACGGCCUGCUCAACACUCAGUAGUCGCGAUGAUUUCAUUUAGAAAUGUAGUUACCGGAAAAGGAACUGAUUCUAGAAUAUGUAAAAAAGCAUUGGCUAACAGUAUAAAGCGAUGUGAAGACAAGGAAUAAGUUUUUACAGUUGCUAUUUGCUAUAAAAUCUAUAGAUAAACCAG